rnacentral:rRNA from 1 species
AGUGAACGCUGGCGGCGUGCCUAAUACAUGCAAGUCGAACGAAGUGGCGCACGGGUGAGUAAUAUAUAGUUAAUCUGCCCUACACAGAGGAACAACAGUUGUAAACGGCUGCUAAUACCCCAUAGUGUAGGAUGAGACUAUAUCGUACCAGCUAGUUGGUAAGGUAAUGGCGUACCAAGGCUAUGACGCGUAACUGGUCUGAGAGGAUGAUCAGUAACAUUGGAACUGUGACACGGUCCAGACUCAUACGGGAGGCAGCAGUAAGGAAUAUUGCGCAAUGGGGGAAACCCUGACGCAGCAACGCGGCGUGGAGGAUGACACUUUUCGGAGCGUAAACUCCUUUUAUCAGGAAAGCGGUACCUGCUGAAUAAGCCCCGGCUAACUCCGUGCCAGCAGCCGCGGUAAUUC